CCUUGAGCACCAUAAUAUUUUGAUAUUCAGGAUCUUUAUCGGUCCUGGUCACCUCUAUGGCAGCAAUUACUGACGUCCGGUUAAUAUUCCUACUUAUACUAUAUUUGUUGCCAUUCCUUAUGUAACUUAAUAAAGUAAUAUCUAUGUAAAGUUCAGUUUUAUUAAAGUUAGCUGUUAAGUGCUUUGAUCUUGUAUUCGUGUCAGUAAUUAUAUAAUAGUAACCAUCGUAAGAAGUUAUACCCCAUUGUAGUAUGUCUACAUAGAGGAGUUGAGUGAGAAGUUUGAGUAUAUGCCCUUCAAUCUUGGACAGGUUUUUUUUUAAUUGACCUGUCUUUCAUAUUUCAUGUUCUUUGCAGGUAAACGGGUUUUAUAUUUGGAUAAUUUUGUUUUAUGUAUUUAUAAAUUGCCUAUCCAUAUAAAGUAUGUUCGCCAGAAAUUUCUUUGAUUUGAAGCGGUUGUUGCUUUGGGUGUUAAUUCCAAUAUUGCCGUUAAGUAUUGUGAGUGAGUUCAAAUAUUUCCUUUCUCCUUAUCCCUUCUUUAAUUUAUUGAACUUUACUAAUUAUUACUUUAACCACUUUCAUUUAGCUUUGUAACAGAGCAAAUAUUUCUCAUUUUCGGAUUCAAAGUAGCUUUAUUUUAUUAAAAAAGUUAUAUAACCUACUUGUUGGCCUUUCUUUGUUAACUGAAGGUGUUUACAGAAGUUGAUUCUUGUUUGAUGUUAUUAAGUAGGUCUUUAAUCUGAGAUUAUACGUGGGUAUGCUGCUGAGUUCGAUAAUGUAGUUUGUUACUGUUUUUUGAAGAUUGUAAUAGGCGAACUAGACCCUCAGUUUUAUGCAGGAGAGGAUAAUGAAGUACGACGUUUUUCCCCACAUCUUUGACAAUAUAGUAAUUUAAGUUUUGAUGGUUUUGAGUUUGUUUUAUGGAUUAGAUCAACAUAUUUCGUUUUGCUCUGCUUUUGGUCAUCAUACAGAUAAAAAUUCAUUAUGAUAAGGAAAGGUUUGCGGAUUACUGUUUUGGUACUCUGUCGUAAUUCUUUAGACGAAGUCAAAGUCAAGACCAUCUUUUAGUUGCAGAAAGUUUUGUUCUGCGGUGAAAGCUUGUUUUCCAUACCCACCCCUAAGUCGAUAUGUCACUGCAUGAGUUUUCAACAUGUCUACCAGUCUAGAUAAGGCAGGCUUAAGGUUCACAGGUGUCUGAGCUUUCAAUAAAGUUAGUGGAGAGUGUGUUUCAAAUACGUCUCGAAACACCUGAAUCGCUUUUUCCAGAGCGAAGUCUAUACAUUGGGUAAACGACGGUAGCACUAACUCAUUAUCCUUGAGCCACCGGUCGAAUCAUAGAAUUGACUAAAGAAAUCUUUGCUUAAUUAACUCAGGAUUAAAGUUUAAAGAUUAGUGCUUGUGUUGUACUAUAUAUGAUCUUCGAACUGUGUAUACUAUGGUACCUGUACUAUACUGUUCUCUUAGCCAGCUUGAGGCUGGGAGUGAGUUUUACCCGUAUGCUCCUUGUUCUCAGGCUUGCUUGGACCGGUGCGGAAUAGUGUUAGCUACUAUGCUUAGGUUGCUCCUAGCGUGGUACUAGCACUACCCUGGAUAGUGCUACUACGUAGUAUACGUAUAGAUAAAGCGCGGCGAGCCGGUUAUGGUUUUGAUUGAGUCAAUUUCUUUGUUAGUGAGAGAUUUUUAGUCAUGGUGCUAAUAACG